rfam:Triticum aestivum genome assembly, contig: Triticum_aestivum_CS42_TGACv1_scaffold_485481_6AS
UGUUUUGCCGUGAUGAUUCCGCUAGGACGGUAUAUGAGCGACGGGUCCGCCCGCCGCGUGAUUAUACCCAAUCUGAGAAUAACAUCUGAGCAAGCA